rnacentral:rRNA from 1 species
UACGGGGGGGCAAGCGUUGUUCGGAAUUACUGGGCGUAAAGGGCGCGUAGGCGGUCAGCACAAGUCAGUUGUGAAAUCUCCGGGCUUAACUCGGAAAGGUCAACUGAUACUGUGCGACUAGAGUGCGGAAGGGGCAACUGGAAUUCUCGGUGUAGCGGUGAAAUGCGUAGAUAUCGAGAGGAACACCUGCGGCGAAGGCGGGUUGCUGGGCCGACACUGACGCUGGAUGCGCGAAAGCCAGGGGAGCGAACGGG